rnacentral:lncRNA from 1 species
CGACUCGGUAAACAAGCCGCUGCGGCGCCUGGGGCUUCUUGUGCGCGCCUGGGGCUUCUCGUGCAAGCCCGGCGCCGAGUUACAUCACGGUCCCCUGGAGUUUCAAGCCCCGGCCGCCUGGUCCCCGCGGCCCUCGCCUGCCCGCCCGCCGCCUGUGUCCGAGGAGCGGAGAGUCAGCGAGGGGUCUCCCUCCCCAGGCUCCUCAGGGCAGGUUUUCUGGAAGGCCUCCAGGUUUUCUCGGGCGGCCCCUGGGACUUCGUGGAAACCGAUUCAGCUGGAGGGAAGGGGUCACGGCGUGGCUGCACAGGAACUGCACCUCAGUUUCCCCACCUGUGAAACCAGGGGGCUGCGUGAGGGUUCUGUGCCAUCCAACUAGGGGCAGGAGAGGUGCGCCCUGAGCCCGGGGCGAGGGGCCGACCCCCGAAAGAAAUGGCUGCGGCCAGAGCCGAGCUUUCUCCUUGAGCGGUGGAGCUCGCAAAAAGCCAGGUGUCCCAGAACGCAGACCCUCCCCUCCGAGGGGCCUGGGUGACCGUGAGUCGCACAGAACAAAAAGAUGACUUUGUAGUAUCCUAGCAUCUCCCCUCUCCCGAUUUGCGGCGGGACAACGACCCUCUGGGUAGAAGGAAGACCUGCCCGCCACCCCCACAGCGGGUUUGCGCUCUGAAAAAGGUGUUGCGGCGCAAUAUCCACAGCUUGCACGUCGGAGCCUGAGUUGAGCCUCAGGCGCCCGAGGAGGCAAUGAGUCCCCGCCUGUGGCAGACACUAGAUGGGCCAGAACAGGUCCGGAAGGCCGCAGAAGGGACGCUGGCCCCAUCGAGCCCCAGGAGGUGCCCGGUCCGGGGACUCCACGGUUUGGUGAUUCUGCACCUGCGCUCUCCAAUAAGGCACAUGAAGCCUCCUGAAGUGACCCUGGCCUCAACUGAUCUGACUGCAAGGCUCCCCCUUCAGCAGCAAUAGCUGUGCCAGCCCGAAGCCAGAGCCGAGCCCUCGGAUGCAGUUGCCUGGUAACCAGCCCUAAGUGAUGGAAACCCCAGUGGGCCAUUAACGAGGGCACAGUGCCAACAGCCCGGCCCAAACCCCACUGCCCCAGCUGGCUUUAGGAAGGCUUCGACGGACAGUCCACCUGGCCUGCCCACGGGAGGACAAGAGGGUGCUCCAGCAGUAAGGGAGGGGCCCAGGCAGGGCCAGGAGGAACUGGGUUGGCAAUCUCCCAAGACCUUUGAAUUGGGGAGCUGGGCGAAGGUAAUUCCCUAUGGAGUCCAAGGCCUGACCGAGGUGAGGUGAGCACUGG